CUGGGCCCAGCCUUGACAGCAGCCAUGGCUGCGCCUCUGGGCUCCAAGACAGCCACUAAAUGCCGCAGGCCCUGGGAGUCCCCCCAGCAGCCUCCUGACAGUGCGUGAGAAACGCCGGCCAGGAUUUAUUGAGCGGCGCGGGCGGAUGCGAUGGCGGCGGCUGCUCCUCCCUCGCUGAAUUAUCUCUGGCAGGAAUAAAAAUCAGCUGAGCGCCAGGUUUUGAUAGGCCACAAUCUGUUAGCAGAAAAUUGGACUGUCACCAGCAUGCCAUGUUCAUUUUGGCUGAUUAAAGAGAUAUUAAUCUACUGUCACGCGGACAGCUCUGUCAGCGCAGUUAACAGGCCAGCGGAGACAGGGCUGCCGCUCGGGGACAGCGGCGCAUUGAAGGCAGCCAUAGCUCAGGGACUCACUGGGGACAGCGGCGCAGUGAAGGCAGCCACAGCUCAGGGACUCAGCGUGGGAUCUGGGCCACCAUCUGCUCUGGGCCACGUCGGGUUCCACGGGGACAGUGGACAGCCCAUCUGUGUUGGCCUUGAGGACAUGAGAGGAAUCAUGUGGGUCCCACGCCUCCAGCAUCCUGGUGCCCGCCUCCGGAGAAAGGUUCAGGAACCCGGCGGGCAGCACCCUCUGCACCUUCCAUCUACACUGGCCAUAGGGAGCAAGCAGCAUGCAGCCCACGGAGGGUGGCUCAGCAAGAGUGGCUUUGUGGGCCUGGCCCCAGAAGCUUGGAACUGCCACAGAGACCCUGGACCACUGCACCCCACAACCCCUCAGGCCUCUGGACUGGCUUCGAGACCCACACCAGAGGCUCCAGGUAGGCUCUGCCCCUGUGGCUGCCACUGCCUAGAGCGCUGGCCCCCAGCUGGAUGGGCACUGGAGUCCCCAGCUGCAGAACUCCCUGGAGGAGACAGGAUGUGGUGUCCUCUGAAUACCUCCCCAACUCAACUCACAGAGAGUGCAGCUUGGGCUAGGUCCCUGGGACCCAGGGAGGACACCCCCACCCAAGGCUUUUAGAGGCCCCUGGAAGGAUUAACACAGGGCUUGGGUGGUCUGGGGGUUGCUCCCCACCCCCCAGCUGGGCUGACACUUCUGUACCUCCAUGUCCCACUGACAGGUACGGCCCUCUUCCCCGGACAAUGGUGGCCCCUGCUGAGCCAGAGCUCACAAAGUCUGCGCCAAUCAAUGCGCUGCCUUUCCCAGCUUCUCCACCCUUCAGAAGCCGCCCAAGGCCAAGUCAGGCAGGUGCAGCAGGCCCAGCUCUGCUCUGCUCCCCAGAGGCCCCUGAGCCUCCCCGUGCUCCCUCAUCCUCCCACGCAGCCAGCUGUUGAGGAGUAGGCAGUGGAUGCCCCUCAGCUGAAGGGGUAGGGCCUGACGCAUGCAGGAGAGGAAG
ensembl:lncRNA